rnacentral:pre_miRNA from 1 species
AUGCUAUUAACUCGUUAGUCCGUUAGCUUCUAACGACCUAAAGAGUAAAUAGCAUGU